rnacentral:rRNA from 1 species
GACGAACGCUGGCGGCGUGUCUAAUACAUGCAAGUCGAACGCAGUGGGGACGGGUGAGUAACACGUGGGUAACCUCCCAUCAGAGGGGAUAACACUUGGAAACAGGUGCUAAACCGAUACUGAUGGAUGGACCCGCGGUGCAUUAGCUAGUUGGUGAGGUACCGGCGCACCAAGGCCACGAUGCAUAGCCGACCUGAGAGGGGGAGCGGCCACACUGGGACUGAGACACGGACCAGACGCAGACGGGAGGCAGCAGGAGGGAAUCUUCGGCAAUGGACGAAAGUCUGACCGAGCAACGCCGCGUGAGUGAAGAAGGGUUUCGGAUCGUAAAACUCUGUUGUUAGAGAAGCGGUAUCUAACCAGAAAGCCACGGCUAACUACGUGCCAGCAGCCGCGGUAAUUC